rnacentral:rRNA from 1 species
GAUGAACGCUGACAGAAUGCUUAACACAUGCAAGUCAACUUGAACUUCGGUUUGGGUGGCGGACGGGUGAGUAACGCGUACAGAACUUGCCUCACAGUUAGGGACAACAUUUGGAAACGAAUGCUAAUACCUGAUAUUAUGAUUUUAGGGCAUCCUAGAAUUAUGAAAGCUAUAUGCGCUGUGAGAGAGCUUUGCGUCCCAUUAGCUAGUUGGAGAGGUAACGGCUCACCAAGGCGAUGAUGGGUAGCCGGCCUGAGAGGGUGAACGGCCACAAGGGGACUGAGACACGGCCCUUACUCCUACGGGAGGCAGCAGUGGGGAAUAUUGGACAAUGGACCAAGAGUCUGAUCCAGCAAUUCUGUGUGCACGAUGAAGUUUUUCGGAAUGUAAAGUGGUUUCAGUUGGGAAGAAAAAAAUGACGGUACCAACAGAAGAAGUGACGGCUAAAUACGUG